GGGUUCCUACUUUAUGUAUGUUUUUUUUUUGUACUGUUAUUUGUCAUGACUUAUAUUACAGUCGCUUGUUUAUCGUCUCCUUCCGAUUAAAUGUCCAUAUUUUCCAUUAAUACUUUACCUGUGUAAAACACACUACACCAGGUAUUUUUAUGUAUUUUUUUUUAAUUUAAAACUCCAUUCAGUUUGAAAUAUUAUCGUUUAGUGUAAAUCGACUAAUUGAUUUGUGACACUUCCGUUGUAAAAGAUAUAAGGCGUACAAAGAAGGAUUGAACGUGAGUUGUCUUUUACUUUUCAUUCACAUAUUGGAACAUUUCCAUAGAAUUUGGGUUAUAAUAUCUAUGUGGUUCUAAAAAUUAAAUAGACGCCUUGAGGUACUAGUACAACCCUCCGUAUGUUACCGUAUGUCUUACGGCUAAUUCAGCUAUAGUAGACGCAUGCGAAAGCCUAAUAAAGAUUAUAAUAAAAAGGUAUAAUCAAUAUGUGGAACAUCCAUUUAUUAUGGAGCUAUAGUAAAUAGAAAAAAGUUAGUUUUUGAUGGUAGUCAGCGUAUUAGCUUUCUUUAUUUUAUAUAUAAUUUCUUUCUAAACAAUAGAAGUAUACACAAAAAAAUCAAAACAAUCCUCGUGAUGCAUAUGGAAAUGAAUACACAGAUAUUUUAGAUAAGAAACUAUCAAUUUUCUUGUUUUACACUUAAAUUGUACUCGAUAAUUAUCCUGUUUUGCUUUUUUGUGUGUAGCACUCAUUGAUACGAAGGGUAUACCUCUAUAUUUAUACUUUAAUACAAUUAGAAUUUAAAUAGUCUGUUUUACGCAUAUGUAUGACCUUUAACGAUAGUUUUUCUUAAAUUUUAAAGGGAAAUAACAAAUUGAUUUACCGUUGAUACACAUUUACCUGACUGAUUUACUCAACUACACAUAGAUAUUGAUGUCCCACGCGUAUAUCGAAAAUGUGAAAAUAGCAUAGAAUAUAGAAUACAUCAUAUUAUUCUGUACGCCUACAUUGCAUAUUUGUUUUAACAUGAGUAAUUUAUUAUGAUAAAUAACCCACUUUUUUUAUUAUUGUUAUCACAAUAUCAAAGUGGGUAAGGUUGUCCUGAAAGGAAAUGCUAUGAGCUAAACGAUUAUGUCUUGAUAAUAUGCUGGUGUUGAGAUAAAAAUAUCCUUGAUCUGUGCACCUAUGCUCUGAUUCUGUGCUCUUUAUGGUUAAGUUAAAAGUGGUAAAUACUAAUAAUUCUUGAUGCAGACUUAUUGUGUAAUUGAUUUAAGUUAAAUUGCAAAAUGCGUAUUUAUUAAAAUGAAAAGAAAAUAAAUAUCAUGAAUACAUGGAAUUGUGAUGUAAUGUUUAAAGGGAUGCCCGUACGAUUUAUUAAACAAAAAUUAUUAUGUAAGAAAAAAGCAAAAAAUCAAUGCAACAUUAUGGCCUGGAUCUUGUUUUUCUUGCAAAAUGGCUUAAUUCUUAUUUUUUCUCUCCCAACCACAUGAAUUUCUUAGUCAAUUUUUUGUGCGUAAGCCAUGCGUGUUUUCAACAGCAAACACAUCAGAUUAAUUUGUAGCAAUGUAUUGAUAAACGAAGGAACGACCCUCAGUUUUGUUUGAGAAAAAAGGGAAAACCGAAAACAUAUUCAAAUAGAUUCUAAUGUCAUUGAUCUUCUGCUGCAGUUGAUACUCUGCAAAAUGUGAAAAGAUUUAGUUUGUAACUCGCCUGAUUAAAAUAUCAAUUGAGCUAUAGUAUUCAUUCGUCGUCGUCCGUCGUCCUUAACUUUAAAACAAAAUCUUCUCUGUAACUACCAGUCCAAAUGUGACUAAACUACCUGAAUGUUCCUUUAGCAGUCGUUAUUUAAGUUACAUUGUAUAAGGGGGUUAUUAUCAUGGCUGCUGUUGGUAAAAUAGAACAUAUGGAUAAAACUAUAUAUCUCAAAUAUAAAACCAGCUAGAACAAAACUGAUAUUUUAGAAAUAAUCAGCAUAUCAAGGUGUAUAUACUUUUCAAUUAUCAUAAAGAAAUUACGUAACUCGUUUUAGAGUUAUUCCUUCGGAAUGCCAAUUCUUGGGAAUUUUAUUUAUUUUGGUUUUCAUCCGAAAAGUGUUUAUAGAUAGCGAGAACUGUAAAUAAGUGUCAGUGAAAUAAGAUGCACAAUAGGCAUUCAACAGAUAACAAAAAAUUGCAAACAAGCUCCAAAAAAUAGGUUAAUACAGCUGAAAUCAUCAGUCGAUUAUUUGUACCCUUUUUGUAUUCUGACUAUAUAAUCGUAUAUUCUACAUGUUCUAUAAAGAAAAAGAGAGGCGAAGGAUAUCAAAGAGACAUUCAAACUAACAAAAAGUCGGAAAUAAACUACCUGAGCAACUACAAAAACUGGGGAUGAUCGGAGGUGCUCUGGGAGAGUAAGCAGGUACUUCUCCACAUGUUGUAUCCGUCGUGUUGCUCAUGUUAGUACAAACCUGGUAAUAAAUUUAAUUUGGUGGUUCACACUCGGGGGUAAAGGGGACGGGAUUAUAGUUACGACAAUUCCGUAAAAAGAUUUUCUGUUCGUAACAUAUUCUACAUAUUUACCUAUUAGUAUAUCGAUUUAACACCUGGAUCGCUGUUGACGCGAUAUAAACCAGUUUGCAUCUCUUAUCUAUAUCACGAGUUUAUCAAAACAAUCCAUUUGAUAUAUCAGAUAUUAUUUUAUUCCAAAAUCAUCAAUUUGGUCUGUUUAUUAGUGAUUCUACAUUAAAAUUUGUUGGCAUAUACAGUGAAAAUGUUAUUUUAGAAUCCGCACGUUAUAGGUGUCAUACCACCAAUUACUCCCUCAAAUUUAGAACGGAUAUGAAAGUAGGCCUACUCGGACAAAAAAUAGUGCAUUUGAUGUCAUUGUUCACCUAAACUAACCAACAAAUGUGCAGAAAUGAAAACUUUGUUGAAAGAGAAAUAUAUUAAGACCAUUUUGAGCCAAAUUUUACCUGUCUAGGAGUUUGCAUUUAAAAUUGAGGAUUAAUGCGCUCCCUGGUAUACUAAUUUAAGAUUUUCAGAAAACCAUGGGUUAUUUUUAGUGGUACCUCUUUUCGGGAGCUUUCUUCUUUCUUAUAUGAUUUUGAAUGUAUGUUGAAAAUUGGCAUGCAGAAAGGUGACAUCUGUACAAUUCAGGAUAUACAUAGUUUCUAUGAAGUUAGAUUUAAGGCAAAAUAUUUAGAAAGCUGUGAAAAUUGCAAAUUUAGGUUGAACAGAUAGGGACUUUAAUUGGUGGUAUGACACCUUUAAGCGAAAUGCGGUGAAACAUCAAAUUCAGAAAACAAUUGAAUUUUUUUGUCUUAACUGAUAAUUUGAAAUAAUAGUAGCAACAUUUCAAUCUUUUUGGGUGCAAAAUGUCACAUAUUGCAAAUUUAGAACCUAAAACCUGAGUUUGUGCUAUUUUUAGCUUUUCUCACCCUGACAAUAUGCUUUUUACUUGAAAAAAAUGUCCUAAAUUGUUAUAAAUGCACAGAAAGUUGUUUCUGUGGUGCUGAACAUUAAAACAUAGGUUGUUUACUACCCCAAACAAAUUUUGUCAUGCAGAUUUAAUGAAAUUAUUUGAUUUUUACCCCUUAUAUCAUUGCGUCAUACUAUGUACUUGGCAGAUAGCAUAGCCUAAUGUAAACACUGCAGAAACUCACAAAAGUACCAUUUAUUAUUCCAAAUGAAAUUUUUAUAUCUUAAAUUUUAUUAACUGAUGUAAAUAAAAACAGUUAAAUGACCAUGACUGCACUUUUGAUCAAUUUGUAGUACUUUACUGACACCAGAUGAAAAAAAGGGGGGUCAAUAUUCCUUGACACUUCAAUACCUUGGAUUUUUUUACUAAAUUCAUUGCAAAAAUUGUUGAAAGUCUUUAAAGAAGUAGAACAAACAAGGAAAAAUCAGCAAAAACUGAUCUUGAUAUUGAAAGUUUAUGUUCCUGUAGCCCAAAAUGAAAUUUUCAAGUAUUUUCUAUCAAAGUCAUACAUUACAGUCAGUUUAAAUUGAGCUGUGAAAUUUUAAAUUAUAAGUCGCAUUAAUGCUCAGAUAGGCUGUUUUUAACUACAAAUUGACUAAGGAUUAAGAAUAAAGCAAAAUAAAAAGAUUUCUAAUCAACUUUUUUGUCUCUUUUAGGUGUCAUACCACCAAUUACUCCCUCAAAUUUAGAACGUAUGUGAAAGUAGGCCUACUCGGACAAAAAAAGUGCAUUUGAUGUCAUUGUUCACCUAAACUAACCAACAAAUUUGCAGAAAUGAAAGUUUUGUUGAAAGAGAAAUAUAUUAAGACCAUUUUGAGCCAAAAUUUUACCUGUCUAUGAGUUUUGCAUUUAAAAAUUGAGGAUUAAUGCGCUCCAUGGUAUACUAAUUUAAGAUUUUCCAGAAAACCAGGGGUUAUUUUUAGUGGUACCUCCUUUCGGGAGCUCUCUUCUUUCUUAUAUGAUUUUGAAUGUAUGUUGAAAAUUGGCAUGCAGAAAGGUGACACCUGUACAAUUCAGGAUAUACCUAGUUUCUAUGAAGUUAAACUUAAGGUAAAAUAUUUAGAAAGCUGUGAAAAUUGCAAAAUUUGGUUGAACAGAUAGGGACUUUAAUUGGUGGUAUGACACCUUUAAGCGAAAAAUGCGGUGAAACAUCAAAAUCAGAAACAAUUGUUUUUUUUGUCUUAACUGAUCAUUUGAAAUAAUAGUAGCCACAUUUCAAUCUUUUUGGGGGCAAAAUGUCACAUAUUGCAAAUUUAGAGCCUAAAACUUGAGUUUUGUUGCUAUUUUUAGCUUUUCCCCCCCUGACAAUAUGCUUUUAUAUAAAAAAUGUCCUAAAUAAUGUUAUAAAUGCACAGAAAGUUAUUCUGUGGUGUUAAACAUUGAAACAUAAGUUGUUUACUACCCCAAACAAAAUUUUGUCAUGCAGAUUUAAUGAAAUUAUUUGAUUUUUACCCCUUAUAGCAUUGCGUCAUACUAUGUACUUGGCAGAUAGCAUAGCCUAAUGUAAGCACUGCAGAAACUCACAAAAGCACCAUUUAUUAUUCCAAAUGAAAUUUUUAUAUCUUAAAUUUUAUUAACUGAUGUAAAUAAACACAGUUAAAUGACCAUGACUGCACUUUUGAUCAAUUUGUAGUACUUUACUGACACCAGAUGAAAAAAGGGGGGUCAAUAUUCCUUGACACUUCAAUACCUUGGAUUUUUUUUACUAAAUUCAUUGCAAAAAUUGUUGAAAGUCUUUAAAGAAGUAGAACAAACAAGAAAAAUCAGCAAAAAUGAUCUUGAUAUUGAAAGUUUAUGUUCUGUAGCCCAAAAUGAAAUUUUCAAGUAUUUUCUAUCAAAGUCAUACAUUACAGUCAGUUUAAAUUGAGCUGUGAAAUUUUUAAUUAUAAGUCGCAUUAAUGCUCAGAUAGGCUGUUUUUAAACUACCAAAUUGACUAAGGAUUAAGAAUAAAGCAAAAUAAAGAUUUCUAAUCAACUUUUUUGUCUCUUUAGGUGUCAUACACCAAUUACUCCCUCAAAUUUAGAACGUAUGUGAAAGUAGGCCUACUCGGACAAAAAAGUGCAUUUGAUGUCAUUGUUCACCUAAACUAACCAACAAAUUUGCAGAAAUGAAAACUUUUGUUGAAAGAGAAAUAUAUUAAGACCAUUUUGAGCCAAAUUUUACCUGUCUAUGAGUUUGCAUUUAAAAUUGAGGAUUAAUGCGCUCCCUGGUAUACUAAUUUAAGAUUUCCAGAAAACCAGGGGUUAUUUUUAGUGGUACCUCCUUUCGGGAGCUCUCUUCUUUCUUAUAUGAUUUUGAAUGUAUGUUGAAAAUUGGCAUGCAGAAAGGUGACACCUGUACAAUUCAGGAUAUACCUAGUUUCUAUGAAGUUAAACUUAAGGUAAAAUAUUUAGAAAGCUGUGAAAAUUGCAAAAUUUGGUUGAACAGAUAGGGACUUUUAAUUGGUGGUAUGACACCUUUAAGCGAAAUGCGGUGAAACAUCAAAUUCAGAAAACAAUUGAAUUUUUUUGUCUUAACUGAUAAUUUGAAAUAAUAGUAGCAACAUUUCAAUCUUUUUGGGUGCAAAAUGUCACAUAUUGCAAAUUUAGAACCUAAAACUUGAGUUUGUGCUAUUUUUAGCUUUUCUCACCCUGACAAUAUGCUUUUUACUUGAAAAAAAUGUCCUAAAUUGUUAUAAAUGCACAGAAAGUUAUUCUGUGGUGUUAAACAUUGAAACAUAAGUUGUUUACUACCCCAAACAAAUUUUGUCAUGCAGAUUUAAUGAAAUUAUUUGAUUUUUACCCCUUAUAUCAUUGCGUCAUACUAUGUACUUGGCAGAUAGCCUAGCCUAGCCUAAACACUGCAGAAGCUCACAAAAAUACCAUUUAUUAUUCCAAAUGAAAUUUUUAUAUCUUAAAUUUUAUUAACUGAUGUAAAUAAAAACAGUUAAAUGACCAUGACUGCACUUUUGAUCAAUUUGUAGUACUUUACUGACACCAGAUGAAAAAAAAGGGGGGUCAAUAUUCCUUGACACUUCAAUACAUUGGAUUUUUUACUAAAUUCAUUGCAAAAAUUGUUGAAAGUCUUUAAAGUAGUAGACCAACAAGGAAAUAUCAGCAAAAACUGAUCUUGAUAUUGAAAGUUUAUGUUCCUGUAGUCCAAAAUGAAAUUUUCAAGUAUUUUCUGUCAAAGUCAUACAUUACAGUCAGUUUAAAUUGAGCUAUGAAAUUUUAAAUAUAAGUCGCAUUAUACUCAGAAAGGUUGUUUUAACUACCAAUUGACUAAGGAUUAAGAAUAAAGCAAAACAAAAGAUUUCUACUCAACUUUUUGUCUCUUUAUGUGUCAUACUACCAAUUACUCCCUCAAAUUUAGAACGGAUGUGAAAGUAGGCCUACUCGGACAAAAAUAGUGCAUUUGAUGUCAUUGUUCACCUAAACUAACCAACAAAUGUGCAGAAAUGAAAACUUUGUUGAAAGAGAAAUAUAUUAAGACCAUUUUGAGCCAAAUUUUACCUGUCUAGGAGUUUGCAUUUAAAAUUGAGGAUUAAUGCGCUCCCUGGUAUACUAAUUUAAGAUUUUCAGAAAACCAGGGGUUAUUUUUAGUGGUACCUCCUUUCGGGAGCUCUCUUUUUUCUUAUAUGAUUUUGAAUGUAUGUUGAAAAUUGGCAUGCAGAAAGGUGACAUUUGUACAAUUCAGGAUAUACCUAGUUUCUAUGAAGUUAAACUUAAGGUAAAAUAUUUAGAAAGCUGUGAAAAUUGCAAAAUUUGGUUGAACAGAUAGGGACUUUAAUUGGUGGUAUGACACCUUUAAGCGAAAUGCGGUGAAACAUCAAAUUCAGAAAACAAAUGAUUUUUUUUGUCUUAACUGAUAAUUUGAAAUAAUAGUAGCAACAUUUCAAACUUUUUGGGUGCAAUAUGUCACAUAUUGCAAAUUUAGAGCCUAAAACUUGAGUUCGUGCUAUUUUUAGCUUUUCUCACCCUGACAAUAUGCUUGUUACUUCUUUUAAUUGGUGGUGUGACACCUAUAUACACUGCACAGUGACAAACAUGAUAUACUGUAAUACACAAUGAUACAGUAAUUUGCUUUUACGCAUAUGUAUGACCUAAUUUAAACGACAUUAAAAACUACAAUGUUUAAGGGUAUAUGAACUAAGGUAUGUUGUUGAAAUCUAAAGGUAAAUAGGAAUUUGUUACAAUAAUAGCAGUUUAAUUUUAACACAUGCAUGAAAGUUUACAUUGUUCUGCAAACUUUUGUAAAAACAACAAUUGACUUGUUUGCGAAUGAACUAUUGAACUACACACAUGUAACGAGUGUCAUUGAAUCUAUCGAAACAGAAAAAUAUAGAGUAAAAUAUUUGUUGUUGUUAUAUGACUAAAUAUCUUUCAAAAUAAAUAAUUCUUUUUUAAUUACCUGCACAGUGUGCAAGUCGUGUGAAUAAUAAAUGAUCCCCAAAAUGACAAUAAUAAAUAAUACCCAAAAUGACAAUAAUAAACAUAGUGGCUUUCAAAAUGAAUUCGGUUAGGAGCGAUCCUGUUGAAGGUUUAUCCAGAAAAAAACUAUGAAUACACGGAAUUAAUAAAUUAAUUUUUUUAAUUGCUAACACUACAUCGUGACCACUGUAAGUGUGCUGUUAACAUGGUUAAACUUUGAUAAAUUGCAUGCGUUCGAAGCGCUUUCCGGAUUUAUCUUCGUCGGAAACGCUAAAAGCCGAAUAUCUGAAGUCAAUGAUGUAUAAUAAUUGAAACAAUUGAAAAGUUAUUUCAUCAAAAAGGAAUAAAAAAAAAUCAUCUGAGGUCAACUUUCAAGAUGACCAGAGGGAUUUCAAGCCGUAGUUUCUAUAUAAUUUCCAAAUUUCUAAACGGGCAAUUUUAUUCGAGAUUUGUUAUUAAUAAUGUUCUUGUCUUUUCUUUUUUAUAUUUUUAUACAUUUAUAAAUUCUUAUAUGAUCCCAAUUUACAAUUGUCGUUGCAUCUGUUACGGACUUUCCCAAUUGAUCUUCCUCUAAGUUCAGUAUUUUUGUGAUUUUACUUUUUAUAGGAGGAGCAAGAUGGUUCCUUACGCCUAAAGAUCAAUGAGAAGUUCUUAAAAUAAGGCUAUUUUGGCAGUUUUGACGCUCUUAUAUAAAUGGCUAAUAAAAAAUAUAAAGAUAAAGACACGGAUGAUAGUAUAAUGUCUUGUGAAUAUUCAAAGUUAUAGUCUUUUGAUAUUUGCUUUGGGGAAGGGGGCUCUGUAUCCGAGAGGUCUUAGUAGUUUAUUAAGAGUAUCACAACCCUGUCAUCACUGCGGUUGUGAGCAACACAUUAUCAAAACAUCAUGAUAAGCAUGCAAUUGAAGAUGUAUCUUGCAUUGUAAUAAAAAAAAGUUUCAACAGCAGGGCGUGAUCCUAGUUUACUCGCUGUUCUUUUCUUUUGACAUAUUAUUGUCUAAAUCUGGAAUAUUGAGACAACAAACAUCGCAAAGUAGAGAAAUUUGUGUUUGUUAUGUCCUGAUUCUGUAGUUUAACAAUAUCGUAUAGUGUAACAGAUGAGCCGCAUAUAAAGUUUUUGGUAUAAAUGCAUUUUCGUUGCUUGUGUUUUGUGAAUAUAAGUAGUAUGAAUAAAAACAAAAUUCAUCUCUGUAGUUUUGUAUAUAAAAACCCUAAUAAUAAUCGUUCGUUUCUCAAAUUCAAAAACUUUUCAAUCGAACCGACGAACGAAUAUUGUCUAAGAACUUAAACCAAUUGAUCGAUAAAACAUGAAUUAACCAAUCUGAAGUGUCGCAAACGAUUGUUUAUACCACUGUAUUACAUGUAUUACUAGUAUGGAAAGUUGUGACUUGUCUUUUAAUUAGGAACGUUCAAAGGAGAAAUAGAUACCUAAGGGAGAAUCAUAAUUCUUGGUAUCUAUGAUGGGUUUAUCUUAAAAGGUUUUGUCAAAUACAGCCAAAUUGUUCUUCUUGUAUCUAUGAUACCGAAUUAUUAUUCCUUUUGCUUGCAGACGAUGUUGGAAAGACGUUAAGAGCCAUCAAAUCGGUAGCAUACUUAUUUUACUACCAGCUCCUGUGGCUACUAUUCGCCAAUUGGUAUUAGUGUGAUUUAAAUGAUGCUUUUUAAAGAACUAUUUUUGGUUACCAAAUUAUUAUCUAAGUGUUAAACUUACUUUUUUACUCCCUCUACCAAAAAUGACCGAACGUUUUUAUGUUUUUUGUUUUGAUAUUUGCUCUAAUGCUCCGAAAUGUUUAUGUUUUAUGUUUCCGAACAUUUGGUCCCAGAUGUACCUCAUGGAUGAAGACUUUCAUGAUAUGGUAAAAUAGUAAUUCUUAUAACUUCAACAGUACCAAUUGUCCUGCAUGAUAUGCGAAUUUCGACAAUUGAUGUCUCUUCAGUGAUCCUGAAAGCCAAAAUACCUGAAUUCCAAAACCUAAUACAAACGUUUCAGAACUGAUAAAACAAACAAAAAUCAGAUAUAAAGGAGGAUAAUCUUCACUGCACGCUCUCCUUAUAAUUCACAUAUAUCUGGACAAAAUGUCUUAUAAUUGUACAAUAUUAGACUGUUAACUAUUAUUAAGUAAUCAGAAAAAAUAAAGUUGAUAAAGUUUUCGCAGACUUUUUAAUAGUCAUUCAGAUGUUAUACAAAUAAUUGACAACAACAACAUUUGUUGUGAACAUUUGAACUUUUGUGAAAUGCAAUGGAUUAACACAGGAAAUACUUAAUACAGUAAAUAAAUUAUUCUUUAAUAUUUGCUUUGACACGGCAUGGACUUCUUUAUAAAUUAUCUAUAUCAUAUAUUGCUAAGAACAAUGUUAACAAUAUGACAUCGGGCCAAUCCUAUGUACAUUUUUUUGUAAUCAAAAUUAUAUACAUAAUUAUAUUUUUUUUUUAUAUCUUUAACUCUAGGUUUUAUUCUAAUCCAAUAUUGAGGAUAUUCAUCUAUUUACAUUGAUAUAAACUAUAAAUGUAUGAUGUUUACGAUUUACUGUUUACCAGCGUUGCCUUUUUUUAGGCAUUCAGUCAUAACAUUCACAAGCAUCUACUCAUGUACAAUACAUGUGAGAUUGCAACAUCAAACAAGAAAACAAAACUGAUAUAAAACUAACGGCACAUAAUUAUAGAGUUAACUAUAUCCCCCAAAAAAAACAGAAAAAGUUAUAAAACGUGUCUUUUUCUAAACAGAGAUGGAUGACACAAGUUAUCGUCACAUUAAAUCUUACAAAUAACCUUUUAACUUUUAAUGGAAGAUAAUUUUGAUAAUGAAUAUAUUAUUUCAUCAAUGGUAAAAAUAUAUAUACAGGAACUAUAAACUGUAUAUUCAUCAUCAUUAAUUAAACCAACUUAAGUAAAUUUUACUUAGAAUAGUUACAACAAUAGAAAUAAUGCACUACAUGUAAACAAUACAGAAUACAAUUGACAAAUUGAUUCGGUGAUUUUUGUUAUAUUCUGUGGUGAAUAACUAUAAAUGUAUCCUCCGUUAGCAUUUCAUUACUAAGUGUGUAAAAUUUACAUCAUAAAGUUUUCUUAAAUUAACAUUUGCAAUUUCAUUUUUGAUGCCCACGCCGUGGUGGAGGGGACAUUAAGUUUUAUCCUGGUCCAUCUGUUCGUCCAUCCGUACGUCGCGAAAUUGGUUUCCGUUCUAUAACUUAAGUCUGCAUCAACCAAAUGUUAUGGAACUUACACACAGUGCUUAUUACCAGAACACACAGAUCAAGUUUGAAUUUUGGUGGUGUCACUUAUACUGUUUUAGAGCUAUGCCCCUUUACAAUUGGAAAAAAUGCUGAUUCUUACGUUUCCGUUCGCCAACUUAAGUUUGCCUCCACCAAAUGUUAUGAAACUUAUUAAAAAAAUGCUUCUAACCACAAAACACAGUCCAAUUUUGAACUUUGGUGAUGUCACUUUUACCAUUCUAGAGUUAAUGAGUUACGCCCAUUUACAAAUGGAAAAAUGUUGAAUUUUUCGUUUCCGUUCUCUAACUUAAGUUUGAUUCAACCAAAUGUUAUGAAGCUUAUACACAAUGCUUAUUACCACAAAACACAAAUCAAGGAUGAAUUUUGGUGGCGUCACUUUUACCAUUCUAGAGUUAUGCCCAUUUGCAAAUGAAAAAAAAAUGCUUAGUUUUUCGUUUCCGUUCUUUAACUUUAGUUUGCCUCAACUAAAUGUUAUAAAUAUUAUACACAAUGCUUGUUACCACAAAACUCAGAUCAAGUGCACAUUUGAGUAGCGUCACUUGUACCGUUCUUGAGUUAUGUUCCUUUAUAACGUUGUCUGCAAGCAGGGUAUCAUCUGUGUCCCAUGGACACAUUCCCCAUGUAUUUGUAUCUUGAUGUUUUUUGCAUGUCAUCUUCCGUCCAUAUUUUGACUUUAUUGGUUUUUCAUUUUGUUCAAUCAUUUUAGUUUUAAGAAAUGGGAUGUUUUCUAACGAUUUUUAUUCCUUUACUCAGAACAACAAUGACUGAUGUGUCUACUGACAGUGGAGAACAAGCUUCAGAUAUUUCACCAGAAGAAGAAAAUUAUCUUCGUAUUGCCCACUUAUUAAUCAGAGUUGCACCUUCUGCUGUGCGGGUAAGAUUUGAUACAGAGUUUUCUCCUGGAGGAUUAAAGACAGUUUUGAAUAAAGCAAGAUCUUCAACAUUAGAACCCCUGAAAAAAAGAAGAGUUAUUAACCAAGCUCAAUGGGAUUUGUUAUUUCCAAAGUCAGGUAGGCAAACCAAGUUGCUUAUAUAUAACAACAGAUGAUGUUGUAAGAUUACCAAUGAGACAACUCUCCACAAGAGACCAAAUGACACAGAA
rnacentral:lncRNA from 1 species